CGUAGGUGGCAAGCGUUGUCCGGAAUUAUUGGGCGUAAAGCGCGCGCAGGCGGUUCCUUAAGUCUGAUGUGAAAGCCCCCGGCUCAACCGGGGAAGGUCAUUGGAAACUGGGGAACUUGAGUGCAGAAGAGAAGAGCGGAAUUCCACGUGUAGCGGUGAAAUGCGUAGAGAUGUGGAGGAACACCAGUGGCGAAGGCGGCUCUUUGGUCUGUAACUGACGCUGAGGCGCGAAAGCGUGGGGAGCAAACAGGAUUAGAUACCCUGGUAGUCCACGCCGUAAACGAUGAGUGCUAAGUGUUAGAGGGUUUCCGCCCUUUAGUGCUGCAGCUAACGCAUUAAACACUCCGCCUGGGGAGUACGGCCGCAAGGCUG
rnacentral:rRNA from 1 species